UUAGAUGGUUUUAAUAUGAACCCAUAAACA
rnacentral:tRNA from 1 species